rnacentral:misc_RNA from 1 species
UAGAGUUUUAGAUGGAAUAAGGAGGAACGCCUGUCGGAUUUGAUGGCUUUUGUGCCCCGACAGCACCAGCUCAUCAUUGCUUUUUAGUAUUUAUUAAGACUCUGAUGUGCCAUGAAACAAAUUUCGGAAAAAUAAACAAAUAUUUCUGUGCGUUGGCUGCGUUGACAAAAACAGGAAAUGGGUAUUGAAAAAAACAAAUCAAAAAGCAUCCAACAAGUUCUUCCACAAAGUCAACAACAAUCUCAGGAAUAUGAACUCUCCGGGAUUAAGUAUUCUUCAAAUUUGUGUUGGGAUGACUGAUGCCAAGUGAUACUUUCCAAGUAAAUGGAGCAGGUGAGUAGGUUCUUAGAUCCACGGAAUCAG